rnacentral:rRNA from 1 species
AACGUAGGUGGCGAGCGUUAUCCGGAUUCACUGGGCGUAAAGCGCACGCAGGCGGCCCGGUAGGUAGGGCAUGAAAUCUCCUGGCUCAACUGGGAGAGGUUGUCCUAUACCGCUGGGCUUGAGGAUGGGAGAGGGAAGUGGAACUGCCGGUGUAGUGGUGAAAUGCGUAGAGAUCGGCAAGAACACCAGUGGCGAAAGCGGCUUCCUGGCCCAUUCCUGACGCUCAGGUGCGAAAGCUAGGGGAGCGAACGGG